CCGCCAUGGUGAAAUUGGUAGACACGCUGCUCUUAGGAAGCAGUGCUCAAGCAUCUCGGUUCGAAUCCGAGUGGCGGCA
rnacentral:tRNA from 2 species